rnacentral:tRNA from 1 species
GGAGUUGUGGCUCAGUGGUAAAGUGCUUGCCUAGCAUGCGUGAGGCACUGGGUUCAAUUCUCAGCACCA